UUGAGAAGUUAUUAGAUUUUGAUUUAGCGUUCUUUUCUCGUUCAUUUUAAUAACAGUAAUUUCGUUUUAAGUACAGACGCAAUUUAAGUCAAGUCUCUUAUAGCUUUACAAUUAAAAAAAUAUUUGCUCGUAAUUAAAAAAUUUUUUAAUUAUGUGUUCAAUCAGAUUGAGACGUGCUACCAUGAAUGAAUUGAUGAAGUAUAGCAUGAUAUUUGACAUGUUUGAGUUUAAAAGAAUCAGUCUAUGCUCUCAUUGUGCAUAAGUGCCGAUUUCUCGUGUCAUUUCAUGUAAAGCUACAAGCUAACCUUAAUUUAACACGGUAUAUUUUUCGAUUUUUUUGCUCAAUCCGCUCUUCAGUAUUAUAUGGUGGUAAACAUCGUCAGAAGUAGCUGUAUUCCAGGCACUUAAUUCUUUGCAUAAUUAUUACAAAAACAUUACUCAAAAGGUUUUAUAGGCCACGUACAUUGGCCUUAGUGUAUUGGUAAGUUAUUCUUUGCGUGAAUUGUUACAGGUCUAUGAGUAAAGUAAUUAGUGUGUUUUUUGUGACUUGUAGAGAAAUAGCCAAAUUCAUUGACCAUGGACUGAAAAAUCAGGCCUGAAUAUUCAGGUAAACAAUUAGAGUCAUGUUUUCUCAAGCACAGUUGUAAAAUCAGUAUCGCAUUUGUUAUUGUUUUCACAGGAUGUUCCACGGCAGACAUCGGGGAAUGACUGUGGGAUUUUUAUGCCUAUGACAUGGCUUUAGAUUUGCCUUUUGGACUGGUGAGGCAACUCGCCUCCUUCAGGGCAAGUUGCAGCCUGUAUACAUGGUAUCCAAGACGUCUAAAAUAAGUCAAAGCACCCCAAGAUAUGAGGUGCUGCUCAGUGAGCACACUUCAAACAACAGAAAACUUGUGGACCUAAUAAUCAAGGAACAAGAGGCAAAAGAAUAGCUGAAGGGCAUAUUAACGAGCAAGAAGAAAUCAAAGUAGCUGAGAAGGUUUCAGAAACCAUCUUCUUACAUCGUUCCUGUGUAUUUCGAGGAACGAUGAACAACAAAUAUUCGUAUGAUGAACAACAAAACCAAAUAUUCAAAUACCUUAAAGAUUUCCUUGUCAGGAUCUUCCUUCAUUCUUGAUGUAUUGAUGCCAGAGGUAAGUGUUGGAUUAAUUUUGAAUGCGCUUGAUUAAGUUGUUGAGCUUAUUAUUUGGUAGAUAAAUCAUGCUUUUAUUCCAGUGCACUGAAUAAUAUUGAUGUUCAGAAGGCAGAGGAAAUGUCGUAUGGGUAUGUACUCGUGUUUAAUCUUGAGGAUUUUAUUUUUAAUUAUUCUGUAAAAAUUAAGCAAUUUUUCUUUUCAGUGGAAAAAAAUGCCUCAGUUGAGAAAUCCAUGAAAUGGAAAGGUGUUUGGUUGUAAGAAUUGUACUUUCUGUGUUGACAUUUUUUUGUUUGUUCCAUCAGAAGACAUCUUUAGUGUAAUGUUUCUUCUUUUUCGUCUGUCUUUCUAUUCCUUUUUAUCCUCCUCUCUUCCAUUCUCUCUUCAUUGCUCUUUCUACUAUAGUAUUACAUUUCAUUGAUUUGUUUUUAUAUAUAUAUAUUUGAUUGUUGUUUCAUUGUUUUAAAAUAAAUGUUCGUUUCAACUUCAAA